rnacentral:lncRNA from 1 species
UUUUUAAUUAAAAUAAUCGAGACAAAAAGAAGAAUGUAUGUAAUUUAUUUAAUUCAAAAUGCGUUUUGCUACUGUCAGUAAACAGAAAAAAAUUAUUUGACAAAUAAACAUUGAUUUUCGCUUGAACGAAAUGUUCAAACUGGCAAGAGGCAGGUGGGUGGCAGCUUUAACAUUGAAUUUAAGCAAAAAACAAUAUUUAUUUGUCAAAUAAAUUUUUUUCCUGUUUUCUGACAACAUUAAAACGUAUUUUGAAUUAGAUAAAUUACAUACAUUCUUCUUUUUGUUUCAAUUAUUUUAAUUAAAAAAAUGUGUUUUUGAACACCUUGUAUAAAUACUUAUGUUAAUGUUUAUAUUAGGGAAUAGAGAAUUGAAUACCCGUUCAAAUGAGCUAUCACAUGACCCCUAUUCUCAUUUAAAAAAAUCAACUAUUACGUCAUCACGCCCAGAUGGACGACGUCACUAGUAUGAUGUAUAUGCCAAAAAAUUGGAAAUUAAAAAUAAAAAUCGACCUAUUUCGGUAUUUUUCUUUAAAGUCGCCGGUUUACGAAAUAAUGAAUUUAUGCGUUACUUUAUGGACGCACUGUAGAACCAGAACAGUCUACACGUUUGUACUAAAGAAACAUGUAAAAAAUUGAUGAUAUUUGACUCUGAUUUACUUAAUGGGCAUUAGGGGGGAAAUAUUAGCCAAUAUGAAGAAUAAAAGCUGUGAUUGUGAUAGGUCAUAACUUCCCAGUGACUGAAGAAAUAUUAAAUUCCAUGGAGUUUUUUGGUGUCUACUGAUAGGAUUAAUAGGAUAGCAUCAAAUGGAUGACGAAUAAUACGGGACAUCGCUGAAGCCACUAAUAGACAGGUUACACAUUAAAAGUGGUAUCUUGAAAAAAAGUUAAAUCUAACAGCAAGUACUUUUGGACAAAUCGUCUCAUAUGCAAAGGAAACAGGUCUCCACAUAGUUUGUUAAAAAGCCUUGUUGUAGGUGAAUACAAUGUUGAUUAGGUAUAUAAAAACCAUUCAUUGGGCAGAAUCCAUAGAAAAUAUGCAUAGGCCCAUGGAGCACCUAAGACAAAAUUAUAGUUUUAAUUUAUGGCUAACAGAUUCGAGACUCCUUGGUAGUCCUGAUGGAAUUAUUGAAGAAGAAUUAUGUUGUGUUAGCGAUUAUGAUGAAUUUUGUAGCUUAUGAUCUUUAUGUAAGUAAAAAAGUACGGACUGCUACAUGUUAUAUAUAGAAAAUACUAAGGAAUCACUGAAUUACGAUAUAAAAUCUGUUUAGAAUGUGGUUAAUUGUAAGAGAAAUAAUUUUAAUAUUCCAUGUUAUAAGUUUAACACUUUAUUUGCGGAUGGUUUUCAUGUGAGCCACAUAGUGCCACCAUCAAUGUGCAUUGGAUAUAUAUGAACUUCUAAGACGAAAAUAAUUUCAGUUGAGAGUAUAAGUCUUAACUCAUUUUAUCCACACUCAAUGUUAAUGAUUCUGUUUUUAGUGAGCCACAAUCAAUUGUUGAUGCUUUUGCCAAUUUCUUCAGCAGUGUCCAUAAUGCUUCUUUUUCCUGUCCAGACCAGAGCAGUCAUAGUCCCAAUAUCACUCAUAGUGAUAGUGAUAUUCACACUUAACUAUUAAAAUUUGUGACAUUCUAUCAUGUUUACAGUGUCUUAAUGCCAAUAAAGGUCCUGAUACAUAUAGAACAUCUAAUUUGUUUAGAUUUCUGAUGUACUGUUCUUUUAAAUUGUGUAAGCCAUAUUUUUAUUCUGGUAUGAUCAAUUUAUUGAAUCUAGAUUAUCUUCUUGUCAGAAGAGUUAACUUUGACUUCAUAUUUAUUUUUAAGCUUGUAAAUGAGAUAAUCCAAUCUUCUGAAAUGCUUCAGCUAAUUUGUUAUAUUUCUUUCCGUUCACUGUGCCACAAUUCACUUUUCUUUGUUCCUUAUCGCAGAACUAAUUAUGGUUCAAAUACAGGUAUGAUAUGGUCUGACCACUAUGCAUGCAAAUCAGUUACCUCAUAAUUGUUUAGGUUAUGUAUCAAUUGCCUUAGGAAUUUAUUUAUUGUAUUUGAAUCAGUCAUUGCGAAAACAAUCUUAGUCCAUAUUUUGGGUAAAAUGACGAUGCUUUUUGACGCCAUGAAAUUUACAUUUAAACAUAUAAACAUUUAAACUUUUUUUGCCUUUUAGAAAGAUUCACUCAUAACCCAUAAUACUUAUAUAAAAUAUAGUAUUAUCUAGGAAUAUCCAACUAAUGAAAAGAUUUUACGUUUCCUGAAAAAUUUACACAUUGUAACAUGUAUUGUUUUCGCAAUGACCGAAUCAUUUAUGUAUUUCUAAUUUUAUAAAUAUAUUGUAUAUAUUUUAAUGCUGAAUUCUUAUAUAAUUUUGACAGUGAUUUUGUCUCAUUUGUUAGUAAUAAAUACCUACAUAUCAAUUAAUUACCUAAUGUAUUAAUGUAAUAUGUAAUAAAAGUUCCUUUAAAAAUUUAUUUUUAUUCCCAAAAUACAUUCUUAAUAGAAGUAAGUCUACUAGACGUAUUGCUUGGAUGUCUAAUGAAGGUCCAAUUAUAUUGUGGACAUCCUCUCAGGAAGCUCGGGAGACGUUUAUUAGCGCGACAUUUUGGACCAAACUAUGCCGUCUGAUGAAGGUCCAAAUGACACCCAGUAAACGUCCCCUCAGGACGUUAGGUGUAUGUUUGGCAGCACCACAUUUGGAUCAAAAUAUAAAGUUGUUCAUACUAAAAUGGACGUUGGAGGGACAUAUGUGAAGGACUUUCACUGGAUGUCCGUGUGUUAUUAGGGAAAUAUUUUGAAUGUGUAUAAAAUGCCCUAAUUGGUUAUUAAAAUAAUUUUCAGUUUUUCGAAAUAAGAUCUUCCUUUACUUGCACAAAAAUAAUAUGUUUACUUAUCUUAAAUAAUAGUUAAUUAAAUGAGUCACUAGUUUAUUAAGUAUUAUCUAUGCUUUAAUCCAGCCUUUAACUAAAUGCAAUACAUAACUGCCGAGCCCUAUAAAGUUUAAGUGAUAUUUCUGCAAUUAAUUUUAUAUAAAUUGAAUAGAAUAGAAAAAAGCUUUAUUCUCAGGAUUCACAAGUUUAUACAAAAAUAAAAAUAUCAGUAGGGAGAAUGGUGUAAAAUACAAUUUAUAAGGGUUUCUGAAACAACCUACACUUAACAUAAAAAUAACAGUCUCCUUGCAGGUCAGCUUGAAGGUAUUAUUCCACUUUGUAUGGUUCUAGGUAUAUGAGUAACUGUUGAACAGACUUUCUAUAUUCUGUAGUUUUCUCAGAUGUUGUUAGUCUAUGUAUUGGUACAUUAUAUAGUUUAUAAAAUUGUUUGGUUUAUUAGAAUUAUGGUUUAUUACGUUUCAUGAAUUUAUGCCUACUUCUAAAAAUGAAAAGGAAGCAUUCAUAUAUGUAUGUUCCUGUUAUUGUUAGUAGGUUGAGUUUUUUGAAAUUAUCUCUACAUGAAUCCCUGUAUUUCAAGUUAAGUAGAGUUCCGAUUGCUCUUUUUUGUAAUAUAAAAACCUGUUCAGCCGUACUACUUUCCCCCCAGAAAAUUAUUCCAAAAAUCGCAAUACAGAAUGAAAAUUUGAAAAAAAAAUAUAUAGGUAACUAACUCGUUUACAUUUUUCGUCCAAAUAAUUUGCUGUUAUUCUGAAAGAGUAGCAGAUAGAUUCAGGGUAUAAAAUUGCAAUUGUAUUUACAUAAAUCGCACUGUCUUUAGAAUAUGUAUAUUAUAGUACCUAUAAUCUAUUAUAAUUAAAAAUAUUUAUUGUGAAUAUUUACAAAUUUAGAUACAAUUUGAUCUAGAUUUAUUAGAUUGUAAAAAUGAAUUGAAUUAUUGCAACUUAAUUAAUUACUGUCCAUUUCAGAAGUUUCCAAACUACAGGCAAUCUCCACUGCUCCCUCAAAUUCUAGAUUCCUGGUGCCCAAUAGUCUUGCUUGUAUUCUUUUGGAACAUAAAACAAAUUGGUUCCUUAUGGCAGACUUUAGAUGUGCUUGAAAAUUGCAAUUUAUAUAGAAAUUAUUGCACUGAUUCUCCUUCUACUUGCUGUCUGCGUUUAAAUCUGUAAGUUUCAGCAAUUUCCAAAGGAACAGGAUUGUAAAAAUUGUCCAUUUUUAACAACUUCGUCCUAUAUUUUAUCUAUCAUCUGCUAGUUAUACACAUAUUUUAGAAAUAUAUACUCUAAUUUUCCAAAAACUA